AGAAUACACUACCCGGGUAGUCCACGCUCGUAAACGGUGGGCACUAGGUGUGGGUCCUUACCAACGGGAGUCCAUGCCGUAGCUAACGCAUUAAGUGCCCCGCCUGGGGGAGUACGGCCGCAAGGCUAAAACUCAAAGGAAUUGACGGGGGGCCCGCACAAGCGGCGGAGCAUGUUGCUUAAUUUGAGGCAACGCGAAGAACCUUACCUGGGCUUGACAUGCAGGGAAAAGCCGUAGAGAUACGGUGUCCUUCGGGGCCUUGCACAGGUGGUGCAUGGCUGUCGUCAGCUCGUGUCGUGAGAUGUUGGGUUAAGUCCCGCAACGAGCGCAACCCUUGUCCUAUGUUGCCAGCGGGUAAUGCCGGGGACUCGUAGGAGACUGCCGGGGUCAACUCGGAGGAAGGUGGGGAUGACGUCAAGUCAUCAUGCCCCUUAUGUCCAGGGCUGCAAACAUGCUACAAUGGCCAGUACAAAGGGCCGCUAUCCCGCGAGGGUGAGCCAAUCCCAAAAAGCUGGUCUCAGUUCGGAUUGAAGU
rnacentral:rRNA from 1 species